rnacentral:rRNA from 1 species
UGAGCAAUCUGCCCUUCUCUUCGGAAUAAGCGUUGGAAACGACGUCUAAUGCCGAAUACGACCUCCUUUCGCAUGAUCGGAGGUGGAAAGCUCCGGCGGAGAAGGAUGAGCUCGCGACCUAUCAGCUAGUUGGUGUGGGUAAUGGCCCAUCAAGGCGACGACGGGUAGCCGGCCUGAGAGGGUGACCGGCCACACUGGGACUGAGACACGGCCCAGACUCCUACGGGAGCAG